rnacentral:rRNA from 1 species
AUUGAACGCUGGCGGCAGGCCUAACACAUGCAAGUCGAGCGGCAGCGACUUAACUGAACCUUCGGGGAACGUUAAGGGCGGCGAGCGGCGGACGGGUGAGUAAUGCCUGGGAAUAUGCCCUGAUGUGGGGGAUAACUAUUGGAAACGAUAGCUAAUACCGCAUAAUCUCUUCGGAGCAAAGAGGGGGACCUUCGGGCCUCUCGCGUCAGGAUUAGCCCAGGUGGGAUUAGCUUGUUGGUGAGGUAAUGGCUCACCAAGGCAACGAUCCCUAGCUGGUCUGAGAGGAUGAUCAGCCACACUGGAACUGAGACACGGUCCAGACUCCUACGGGAGGCAGCAGUGGGGAAUAUUGCACAAUGGGGGAAACCCUGAUGCAGCCAUGCCGCGUGUGUGAAGAAGGCCUUCGGGUUGUAAAGCACUUUCAGUAGGGAGGAAGGUAGUGUAGUUAACACCUGCAUUAUUUGACGUUACCUACAGAAGAAGCACCGGCUAACUCCGUGCCAGCAGCCGCGGUAAUACGGAGGGUGCGAGCGUUAAUCGGAAUUACUGGGCGUAAAGCGCAUGCAGGCGGCCUGUUAAGUCAGAUGUGAAAGCCCGGGGCUUAACCUCGGAAUUGCAUUUGAAACUGGCAGGCUAGAGUCUUGUAGAGGGGGGUAGAAUUUCAGGUGUAGCGGUGAAAUGCGUAGAGAUCUGAAGGAAUACCAGUGGCGAAGGCGGCCCCCUGGACAAAGACUGACGCUCAGAUGCGAAAGCGUGGGGAGCAAACAGG